rnacentral:rRNA from 1 species
GACAGAGGGUGCAAACGUUGUUCGGAAUUACUGGGCGUAAAACGCGUGUAGGCGGCUAUGCAAGUCGGAUGUGAAAGCCCUCGGCCCAACCGAGGAACUGCGCCCGAGACUGCUUCUCUUGAGUCCCGGAGAGGAAGGUGGAAUUCCCGGUGUAGCGGUGAAAUGCGUAGAUAUUGGGAGGAACACCGGUGGCGAAGGCGGCUACCUGGACCGGUACUGACGCUGAGGCGCGAAAGUCAGGGGAGCAAACAGG